rnacentral:lncRNA from 1 species
GAUUUGUCUUUUCCUAAUUAGUCUUGGCACAGAUUAUUCUGUUUCAUUAUCUUUUUCAUUUUGCCUUUGUUGAUCAUCUCUGUGUUGUCUGUUGUUUGUCUCUGAUUCACUGAUUAUUGUCCUUAUCUUUAUUAUUUAUUCUGGUCUCUCUGUUUUUUGUUUGUUUGUUUGUUUGUUUGUUUUUUGUUUUGAGAUGGAGCUAGAUUCUGUAGCUAGCAAAGAAGACAAAAAGGAAAAAUAUAUGUCAGAUGUGUUUAAUCUGGCUGCCAAAUGCAGGUAUCACAUUCUAUUUAAACAUAGGUUAUUUCUGCUUGUUGAAGCAAAUUUAUUAAUCUUGCUUUUUUUUUUUUCCGAAAUGAACUGGCAUCGUUGCUUGUAUUUUUCAGGAAACCUCUGUGGUAGCUUGUCUUUAGAGCAUGCUCAUAUUAUUCCCACAAUGAUAGGUGAGGCCUGUUCCUCCAGGCCCUGAAUCUAAGCUAGCUUGUUGACCAAGAUAGUGGGACAUCUUGUUGUGCUGUCAAAUUGUUUGUAACACAACUGAUAAAUGUUUUGGGGGAUGGAUACCCCAUUCUCCGUGAUGUGCUUAUUUCACAUUGCUUGCCUGUAUCAAAACAUCCCUUGUGUCCCAUAAAUAUAUACACCUACCAUGUACCCACAAAAAUUAAAAAUUUAAGAAAAUGGGAGAAUGCGGCAGAAAUUACACUGGGCUGACUGUGGACCCAGUCUCCAAGAUGAUUGGCCACUUCUACUUUCUUUUU